GGUCUUAUAGUGGAAAUUAAAGACGUUAGAUUGCAAAUCUGAAGAUGUAUUGUUAUACUGAGACUU
rnacentral:tRNA from 1 species